UACGGAGGGGGCUAGCGUUGUUCGGAAUUACUGGGCGUAAAGCGCACUGUAGGCGGGCUUUGUAAGUUAGAGGUGAAAGCCCAGGGCUUAACCCUGGAAUUGCCUUUAAGGACUGCAUCGCUAGAAUUGUGGAGAGGUAAGUGGAAUUCCGAGUGUAGAGGUGAAAUUCGAUAGAUAUUCGGAAGAACACCAGUGGCGAAGGCGACUUACUGGACACAUAUUGACGCUGAGGUGCGAAAGCGUGGGGAGCAAACAGGG
rnacentral:rRNA from 1 species